UUGAGAUCGUGUUUUCUGUGAGUUUAGUAACUUGCACAGUUAAUAUGAAUCAGCAAUGUCUCAUCAACUUGACUGCGGAAAAGCAGGGAUUGUUGGUUACAGGAAGCCAUCACAGUCUCUGAUAUGGUGAUAGCAGAAUCCCAAGAGAGGCCAGUUUUGGGCAGGAGUGAAGAAAUGACUGGGAAGCAUGUGCUCAAGGACAGGGUGUUUCCAUCUAUAAUGUCAACAAUAAUUGUGGAGGUAUUGUUGCUUAGGCAGUUUUGAAGAGUCAGAAGUGGGAUAUAAUUGAAGAGUUCAUUACCAGGACCCGUUGGUCCCCUGACUACAGUAGAAGGUGAAAUAUUUCUCCUCACCAAAAAGCUCUAGCACAACCGUUUUCCAAGUCACCCACUUUUCACUCUUUUUUCAUUUGAACCCGGAUGAGCUUGUCAGCAAAAUUAAAGUGACAUCUUGGGAGAGAAACACAAAGACAUGCAAUCUACUGAGGAUGAAGGGCAAGGAAGUUCACUGGAGGAAGGAAAAUAAUUUUAUUCAAUAAGCUGAAUUUUACUACAUACCAGUAAAUACCUUCAACUGGUGAAGUGUAAUUCCUCUCCUCUCAGCUGUUGGCCAGACUUUGUGAUUUACUUUUAACUGAGAAAAUGUGUUGGUAGGUUAUGCUGGGAGACUUCCCAGGUGGUAUCACAGAAAGGAGCGUUUCUACCUGGAUCCUGCUUUUUUUGGUUGCUCGUGUUUAGAAUGUCAGCAGCCAUGGCAUGAAAACACUCAAGAAAUCCAUGCUGAGGCAGAACUGAGACCUCCACUAACAACCAGACCAACCUACUGACUGUAUGAGCAGAACGCCUUCAGACCUGGACCCAUCUUUUUUUUUUUUACCGGGGAUCGAACUCAGGUCCUUGAGCUUGCGCAGCAGGCGGCGAAACCACUGAGCUAAAGCCCCCGCCUCUGGACCCAUCUUUGAUAACUUCCAACAUCUGAAGUGCACUCACAUGACAACAGAUGAGAGGCUUCAAGCCAGAUCCAGAAGCUAAGCU